UGGGUUCCUGUCAACGUAACGAAGAGCUAACUCCACCUGAGGGUCGACUGGGAGCGUCAUCGCUGUGAGUAAAAUUAAUCUUCAUAAAACAAACAUCUUAAAUGUAUUUCUGGAGCUGCUUUAAAUCUGAAUUUUUGUCUUUUUCUUUUUAAAUCAGUUUUCUGUUUUUGAAGCUGUGAAGCUCCUCCUCCUCUGAUGUGUGGAAACUUGAUCUGGUCCUGAAGAUCUGCAGCAGAGUGAGUUCACACAACAUCUGAACAGUGUUUGUUUUUUUAAACGGACUUAAACUUGACCUUUGAC